GUUUUAGCAUAAGUUUGUCCCAUGUAAUAUUUGGGAUAUACUUAUGCCUAAAA
rfam:Heterocephalus glaber contig90612, whole genome shotgun sequence.